rnacentral:rRNA from 1 species
AACGCGAAGAACCUUACCUGGGCUCGAACGGCUGCAGAACGGCGGUAGAAAUACUGUCUUUCCCGCAAGGGACUGUAGUCGAGGUGCUGCAUGGCUGUCGUCAGCUCGUGUCGUGAGAUGUUGGGUUAAGUCCCGCAACGAGCGCAACCCUUGUCCUGUGUUGCUAACCGAAAGGUGCACUCUCAGGAGACCGCCAGCGAUAAGUUGGAGGAAGGUGGGGAUGACGUCAAGUCAUCAUGGCCUUUAUGUCCAGGGCUACACACGUGCUACAAUGGACGGUACAAAGCGCUGCCAACCCGCGAGGGGGAGCUAAUCGCAAAAAACCGUUCUCAGUUCGGAUUGCAGGCUGCAACUCGCCUGCAUGAAGCUGGAAUCGCUAGUAAUGGCGCAUCAGAACGGCGCCGUGAAUACGUUCCCGGGCCUUGUACACACCGCUCGUC